rnacentral:rRNA from 1 species
GACGGGGGAUGCAAGUGUUAUCCGGAAUCACUGGGCGUAAAGCGUCUGCAGGUGGUUUCCUAAGUCCACUGUUAAACCUUGAGGCUCAACCUCAAAUCUGCAUUGGAAACUAGGAGACUUGAGUAUAGUAGGGUAGAGGGAAUUUCCAGUGGAGCGGUGAAAUGCGUAGAUAUUGGAAAGACACCGAUGGCGAAGGCACUCUACUGGGCUAUUACUGACACUCAGAGACGAAAGCUAGGGGGGAGCAAAUGGG